rnacentral:lncRNA from 1 species
AUACUUAUACUGUAUUUAAAGACUCCCCAGGCAGGAUCCUCUGUACCUCCAUUCUCCACCUGUUGGUAGCUUCAUCGUUACUCAUAUAAUGGGGAAAGUUUCUCAGAAGAAUAAUGAUACUGAAGAAAACACUACUGAGUUCAAUUUAGUUCGGGUCAAAAGUACAUGGAAGUGCAAACUGCCCCAGAAGGUCAAUAAGGACACAGUGGAUUGUGUCUCACCUGCAAAAAUCUAUGAGAGCAUCACAGAGACAGGCACCACUUGGACGGUUGUCAGCCCAAUCAUCUUUACUUACAAGGUGACUGAGACUCAGGGCUUGCUGGACCCAAGCAACAACACCCUCCUGCUGGGCCACAUCACUGACCCACAGCAGCUAGAGGACAUUAAAAUAUCAAACAAGCCAAUCAGACGCUUCAUAGUCAUCGACCAGGAAGUCUUCAAAAUCUACGGCAUCAAACUCACCAAAUACUUAGAGGUCAACAAUGUCGUGUACAAAAUCCUGGCUCUUCCUACCACAGAGGAGAACAAAUCCAUGGAGAUGGCCCUGAACAUCCUAAAUGAGGUCAACAACUUCUCCCUGGACCGACGCAUGGAGCCCAUCAUCGCCAUCGGUGGAGGAGUGUGCCUUGACAUAGUGGGUCUGGCUGCAUCACUGUACAGGAGGCGCACCCCUUACAUCAGAGUCCCCACCACGCUGCUGUCAUAUAUUGAUGCCAGUGUGGGGGCGAAGACAGGGGUUAACUUCGCAAACUGCAAGAACAAGCUGGGUGCCUACAUUCCACCAGCUGCUGCCUUCCUUGACCUGUCGUUCAUACAGACUGUGUCCCGGCGACACAUCUCCAACGGCCUGGCAGAGAUGUUAAAGGUACAGUAACAGUCCUGCACGCCUGUUUACUUUGUUUUUUGCAUUAAAGUCCUUUUUGUAUCUUUUGCAGAUGGCCUUAAUGAAGCAUAGAAGCCUCUUCGAGCUCCUGGAGAAGCACGGCUGCAUGCUGCUGGACACUAAGUUCCAGGUGGACAACAGCUUAUAUGGGCACAGCAGCUUAAAGGCAGCUUCACAGGCGACUCGUAUCGCCAUAACAACCAUGCUGGAGGAGCUUGCCCCAAACCUCUGGGAGGAUGACCUCAACAGACUUGUGGACUUUGGCCAUCUUAUCAGUCCACCAUUAGAGAUGGUUAUUGAAACACAGAUUAAAAACUCAUGAUGGUUUAUUGGAUGUACGUACACACUCACAUUAUCUCUCUUUUCCACGCAGAAAGUUCUCCCAGCUCUGCUGCACGGUGAAGCAGUGAACAUCGACAUGUCUUACAUGGUUUACGUGUCCCAAGAGAGCGGCUUGCUGACAGAAGAAGAGAAGCAGAGGAUCAUCAGCUGCAUGGUGGGCCUGGAGCUUCCGGUCUGGCAUGAGGAGUGCACUCUGGAGCUUAUAGAGAAGUCUCUGCAGGACAGGCU